CCUACGGGGGGCUGCAGUGGGGAAUAUUGGACAAUGGGGGCAACCCUGAUCCAGCCAUGCCGCGUGUGUGAAGAAGGCCCUCGGGUUGUAAAGCACUUUCAGUGAGGAAGAACGCUUGGUGUUUAAUACCCAUCAGGAAAGACAUCACUCACAGAAGAAGCACCGGCUAACUCCGUGCCAGCAGCCGCGGUAAUACGGAGGGUGCGAGCGUUAAUCGGAAUUACUGGGCGUAAAGCGCGCGUAGGUGGCUUGAUAAGCCGGUUGUGAAAGCCACGGGCUCAACCUGGGAACGGCAUCCGGAACUGUCAAGCUUGAGUGCAGGAGAGGAAGGUAGAAUUCCCGGUGUAGCGGUGAAAUGCGUAGAGAUCGGGAGGAAUACCAGUGGCGAAGGCGGCCUUCUGGACUGACACUGACACUGAGGUGCGAAAGCGUGGGUAGCAAACAGGAUUAGAUACCCCAGUAGUC
rnacentral:rRNA from 1 species